rnacentral:lncRNA from 1 species
GGAGAGGGAGGAGGGGAAGCAGAGGGGACGAUGAGGUGCGGAGGCGUUGGCAGUUGACUUUUGCUGAUGGAGCCUCUCUGAAGGGCAAAUUCAAAGUACAGCUGGGUGCUGCAGCACUGGAGUGCGAACUUGUGGCUGUGGUUAUGAAGGAGCCUCGUCAGCUAUGCCUUUAGCCCCUGGUGAAGCAGUGCCAGUCACACUUUGCCAGUCAAACGGAGAGGCAGCAGUAGUAAGACCAGACCAAAUCAAACCAAACCAAGCAAACCACGGGGAAUGGAGGUUUGUCAACUCCAGUGGAACUUUGGGAAUCUCAGACGAUUCACCUCUACCUCUCAGAUUUUACUAUGAAUGGCAGUAAGGAUUUUCAUAACCGAUAAAUACAUUCUGUAAAUGCAUUUCCUUACAGAAUUCACAAUGGUACU